AAACUGUACAUUCAACAGUUU
rnacentral:snRNA from 1 species